CGAGACCUCGGAGAAGUCAAGCUGCGACGCAAUCUCAUUGAGCUGCUUCUUCACACUCAUAUCAAUCAGCUUCGACCCCGAGCUCCCAUACCGAAUCGUAAAACCUGCAAUGAGAAACGGAUCGAUCUCCGUCUUAAUCCUCACAUUCUUCGCCCCGGUGAACCUCUGCACAGUCUUGGCGAUCUGCGCCAGGUGCUGCUCCCCCAGCGGCACCACCGACGUCACCACUGCAACCUCUGUACCAGUGAUCUUAUUGAAGGCAAUCUCGAACUCCUUGACGAUGUCUUUGAUAAGCUCGGUCCGG
rnacentral:misc_RNA from 1 species